rnacentral:rRNA from 1 species
UAUACGGAGGGUGCAAGCGUUAAUCGGAAUUACUGGGCGUAAAGCGCACGCAGGCGGUUGGAUAAGUUAGAUGUGAAAGCCCCGGGCUCAACCUGGGAAUUGCAUUUAAAACUGUCCAGCUAGAGUCUUGUAGAGGGGGGUAGAAUUCCAGGUGUAGCGGUGAAAUGCGUAGAGAUCUGGAGGAAUACCGGUGGCGAAGGCGGCCCCCUGGACAAAGACUGACGCUCAGGUGCGAAAGCGUGGGGAGCAAACAGGAUUAGAUACCCUGGUAGUCCACGCCGUAAACGAUGUCGAUUUGGAGGCUGUGUCCUUGAGACGUGGCUUCCGGAGCUAACGCGUUAAAUCGACCGCCUGGGGAGUACGGCCGCAAGGUUAAAACUCAAAUGAAUUGACGGGGGCCCGCACAAGCGGUGGAGCAUGUGGUUUAAUUCGAUGCAACGCGAAGAGCCUUACCUGGCCUUGACAUGUCUGGAAUCCUGUAGAGAUACGGGAGUGCCUUCGGGAAUCAGAACACA